UUGGUACAAUAAAUAAAUCUCAGUAAAGAGCAGGGUCCUAGAUCCCCCAAAAAUACCUCAAUCAGUCAACACAGAAGGUGUUCAAUGCUGGCUCCGCUUUUAGGCAGUGCCUAAAUCUAUAUAUUAGGUAAGUGACAUUCACGCUUCAAUUACCAAUUAUUGCUAAUCCAAAGGCAAAAUGGCAAAUAAGGCUCGGCUACAAAGCAUAUUGUUGCACUUCAUUUUCAAUAUGGCGGAAGGCAAGCGAGCACCGAAGAAGAAAAAACUGACUGAAGCAGAGCUUUUCCUUGAGUUAGGAAGUACUUUAAAGACAAAGAAGAGAAAAAAAGCUUCUAAGCCCUAUUUCAUGAAAUUUCAGAGAGAUCCAGUAAGUGGGAGGAGAACUUUCAAAACCCCUUACCGUUCUGUACCCAGAACCAAUCGUACCGACGCGAGCAUCUCUGCAGAAGAAUUCACUUAUAUGGAAGAUGAAGCCGAAAGCAUGGAAGCUACAGAUACUCUUGACAGUAUUAUCAAAGACACUGAAGAGAUUUUGGAGAGCUGGAAGCAAGAGAGGCUUAAAAAGGCUUGGAGUAAACGAAUGCAGGCAGUGAACAUUAGCUGGGAGACAUCCAGAAAACUACUGUUUUCAGUAUGUCAUGGGAAGAACUCCAUCAUACGUUGUCAAGAUUGUGUUCACAAUUUUUUGUGCCAGUCCUGUGAUGAUUUUGUACACACAACUUCACCCCUGCAUGAUAGAGAAGCCAUCUUGGGUGGGUACUACCGCUCCAUUUUGCCAACAGAAUAUAUAGAUGUGACCGGGGCUUUAGCCAAUAAAAGGAGAUUUGACUCCAGCAUAGUUAGUCAUUAUGCAUGCAGUGUUUGUAGUACAGAGGUGGAUUGCAGCAUCACAGCAGUUGAUGUCAUCAGAAAUGGUUAUUGGCCAGGAACGCCCACAAAUAUAUGCCACAUUUUUUCCCAGGAUCUAUUUCUAUUUUGGGGCUUUGAUGUCAAGUCUUGAAGACUACUCUAAGGAGAAAGGGAGGAUAAGAAAUAACUUCCAGAUAGAAUUAAGCAAUUUUGCAUACAGGUUAGAGGUGUUAAAACCACAGUAGAACUCCUACUAAGACAAGAAGCUAAGCUGGCUUUUAAUAAUAUAAUAAAUUAAUGAACUGCCAAAUAUUAGUUUAGAUACCUACGUAACACACAGCUCAUAACCAUACACGAUUACUUUCCUUGUGUAACAAUUUAAUGUAAAAAAAACUCUUCUUUUUCAAAUAAAGGUUUAUUAACUGUGUAUUGUUUUGCUAUUUUUUUUUUAGAUUGGAACAAUCAAUUUCUCAACAUUCAGCAGGAGCUUCAAGGAGUGGAAGUUCUGUUGCUAUGAAAUCGACCAGCUUGCUGAGAGAAAUUGGAUGGAGUGCCCUCCCUGCUCGCAGGGACAACACUCUGCACAUGUUGAUGGCAACAUGAAGUUGUACUGCUUCAGUGCAGCAGGAAGUCAACAGCGUGAGAGCUAUUAUAUGAUGCGUCAUGCUUCGGCACUAUACCGGAGGGAAUUUGCCAGGCUAAAGUCUAAUCCAACAAA